rnacentral:lncRNA from 1 species
AUGUCAUGGCUAAGCAGGGGGACGAAGUCAAAGGAGAAGCCGGAGUCGGAGAGCUCUCUGACUCAGGAGGAGAGGGGGCUGUUGGUGCAGGCUAUGCUGGAGCACGGGGGGGAUCCUUGGGAUUACAAAGUGGUCGGCCAGGAUCCCACUCUCAAAGCCGCCGAAAGGCACUGGGUAAACUACAUUGCCGCGUAUCAUCCUAAAGGAGAAAAGAAGUGCUCGGCCUUGCAGUGGCUGCUGUUCGAUCUGGCCAGUAUCUUGCAAGCCACGGUAGAAGAGAAGGAGCAAUGCAUAAAGACCUUGCAGAACAACCUGCAGGUGGCCCACAACGAAAUCCUCGAGCUGCGCUGCGAUAACGCUCUGCUAAGCGAGCAGGCCGAGCAAGUAAGAAAAAUGAAAGAAGAACUCAGGGCAGAGAAUGCUGAUAAUGCCCGGUUAAGAAAGAAAGUGCAGUGCUUGGGUAAGCUGUUAUCCCUCGGGAAAGGCUUGGACCAAAGGAAGGUAGCGGCUCUGAGCGAGACAAAUUGCAACCUGGAGAUGUGGGACGGGGAUACCUGGAAUGUGGAGAACCAGGAAAACUCUGCGGUGCAAGGGGUGGGGGCCAGAAAAAUAAAGCCGGCGGAGGGAGAUGGAAGCCAGGGAGUGGGGGAUAUGUCCAGAAAAGAGAAAGUUUGGAAGAAACAGAGGGAGGGAUGGCCUGUGUGGGUAAACCGAAUUUGGACUUUAGAACAGCACACCCCUUUCAAAUACGAGGCGGCAAAGCAGGUGGUAACAGCCAUAGGGCUGCCCUGGCCCAAGGUGGGGGCGAUCAUCAGAGCCUUGCCCCCCGAAGAGGCACUGGGGGGAGAGAUCUUAAGGCUGGUGAUUAGAAAUCUGGGAGAAUAUGAGCCUCUCAAGGACAACAUGGAAGGGGCGCCCUGGAGAGACGUCCGGGAGGCGUCAGCCUACGUGUGUGGGAAUGUGGUGCUCCGGGUGCUAAAGCAGCAGGAGAAGCCAGUGACCGCUGACUUCGACAUCCUCGGGGUGAAUGUGGAGCAGGCAGACGUAGGGGUGCUGGCCUGCCGUGCUCCAGAGGUGCAUAAGGGGUUUUUCAUCAGCCUGGGGUCGAUUUUAAUUGGCCGUCCCCUCCAUGAGUGCAUGGCUACGUUAGAGAACUUGGGGACCCUCGUGGGAGCGGAGGGAAAAGAGAAGGCAAAGAAGGAGGUGGUGGGGGUAAAGACAAGGACGUACAUCCCUAGAGGAAUAAUUUGGAGAUAUUUAAUAAAUCAGGGAGUGAAUGAAGGAGAGCUAGAUAGUCAGCCCACGGGAGUUUUACUUGCCAAAAUGAAAAAAAUCCUUCAGGAAAAGGGGAUGAAACAAGAGGAGAUAUGGGAAAAACUGAAGCAAACAAAGCCGUCACCUCCUCCUUCUAUCCCAAAGAGAAAACUAUACCCAUCGCUGAGGGACCUUAAAGAUUAG